CUCAGAAACAGUAUAACCUGAGCCUCCAAAGGAAAGAAGAGAAUUAUGGUCAACAGGUAACCCCUAGAACCAGAACUCCAGUGUCUCCUUUGACCCCAGAAGACCAUAACAGCUUCCAACAGAAGAUGGUCAUUUUAUAAAACAAAGGCUGGAAACCUGGUGCUAUGGACUUCUUGUUUGUAUCACCCCAAACUUCAUACACUGAAGCCCAGGAGGCUAUUCUUCGUUCCCUUCCUGAACAUGGGCACCUCAGUAUUUCUCAUUGCUGGGCACCCCUGAACUCCAUGAGAACAUACAAGAUGCUGGUGGAACAGCCCCCCAACUCACUUCUUGGAACUAAUGGAGACCUGUGAGCAGCAAGCAGUUCUUUAAUGGAAUUCUAAUGACCACCUUUUGCUAUAGAUCCUAAUCAGAACAACAGAGGGAGGUAUGUUUCCAUUUCUCUCUUCAAGGAAUCUCUAAGACUCCAGGUUUUGCUGAGAAAACUGUUCCACUAGCCGGACAAGUCCUAUGGAAUCACUAUAAAAAGAAGAGAUCUUCCAGGAGUUCGCGAUUUUCUGUGGAGUGUUUUGCACAGUCUUUAUGCUCAGUCAGCCUGCCCUUUCUCCCCUCAUCUCUUUGUUCUUUGUGGGAACCUCUGACUAACAGAAUAGGGGAGUGAAGGAAACUCAAGACAGAAACCUCAACAAUGACUCAUCGACCUUUCUGUCACUUAUUCACCGAAGAGAUACCUUUCUGGACUUCACUGAAAGAACCUGAUUAAAAUACCUGUUCCCACAUUUCAAUUUCAUUUCACAAACAUGGCAACUGUUUACACUGUAAUUUUUGUUUAGUAUUUACAUCAGGAAAGGAAUAAGUUUUGAUUGCAAAGAAGGAUAUGGGUGACCUCGGGAUGUUAUGGUUAAGAAGGUGAAAGGUAAGGACUUCCCUGGAGGUCCAGCAGUUGACUCAGUGCUUCCCCUGCAGGGCGCAUGGGUUUGACCCCUGGUCAGGGAACCAAGAUCCCACAUGCUACCUGUGUAGCCAAAAAGCAGAAGAAAAAAAAUGAUGAAAGGGAAGUAUUAGAGUCAACAGAGUUCUUAGCCAGGUCUCAUUUCCCAAGCUCCCUCAUCCAGUGCUGGUAUCCUCC
ensembl:lncRNA